UACAGAGGUCUCAAGCGUUGCUCGGAAUCACUGGGCGUAAAGGGUGCGUAGGCGGGUCUUUAAGUCAGGGGUGAAAUCCUGGAGCUCAACUCCAGAACUGCCUUUGAUACUGAAGAUCUUGAGUUCGGGAGAGGUGAGUGGAACUGCGAGUGUAGAGGUGAAAUUCGUAGAUAUUCGCAAGAACACCAGUGGCGAAGGCGGCUCACUGGCCCGAUACUGACGCUGAGGCACGAAAGCGUGGGGAGCAAACAGGG
rnacentral:rRNA from 1 species